rnacentral:rRNA from 1 species
AUUGAACGCUGGCGGCAUGCUUUACACAUGCAAGUCGAACGGUAACAGGCCUUCGGGUGCUGACGAGUGGCGAACGGGUGAGUAAUGCAUCGGAACGUAACCAGAGGUGGGGGAUAACGCAGCGAAAGCUGUGCUAAUACCGCAUGUGAUCUGAGGAUGAAAGCGGGGGACCGAGCAGCAAUGUUUGGCCUCGCGCCUUUGGAGCGGCCGAUGUCGGAUUAGCUAGUUGGUGGGGUAAAGGCCUACCAAGGCGACGAUCCGUAGCUGGUCUGAGAGGACGACCAGCCACACUGGGACUGAGACACGGCCCAGACUCCUACGGGAGGCAGCAGUGGGGAAUUUUGGACAAUGGGCGCAAGCCUGAUCCAGCAAUGCCGCGUGCGGGAAGAAGGCCUUCGGGUUGUAAACCGCUUUUGGCAGGAACGAAACGGUGUCCGCUAAUACCGGGCGCUAAUGACGGUACCUGCAGAAUAAGCACCGGCUAACUACGUG